rnacentral:misc_RNA from 1 species
GAUGAAGAACGUAGCGAAAUGCGAUAAGUAAUGUGAAUUGCAGAAUUCAGUGAAUCAUCGAAUCUUUGAACGCACAUUGCGCCCGGCAGUACUCUGCCGGGCAUGCCUGUUCGAGCGUCAUUUCAACCCUCAAGCCCUGCUUGGUGUUGGGGUCCCACGGCCGCCGUGGGCCCUGAAAGGAAGUGGCGGGCUCGCUACAACUCCGAGCGUAGUAAUUCAUUAUCUCGCUUAGGGCGUUGGGCGGCGCUCCUGCCGUUAAAGAACCAUCUUUAACUCAAGGUUGACCUCGGAUCAGGUAGGAAUACCCGCUGAACUUAAGCAUAUCAAUAAUCGGAGGA